GGGGAAUAUUGGACAAUGGGGGCAACCCUGAUCCAGCAAUACCGCGUGAGUGAAGAAGGCCUUCGGGUUGUAAAGCUCUUUUACCGGGGAAGAUAAUGACGGUACCCGGGGAAUAAGCUCCGGCUAACUUCGUGCCAGCAGCCGCGGUAAUACGAAGGGAGCUAGCGUUGUUCGGAAUUACUGGGCGUAAAGGGCGCGUAGGCGGCUCUGUAAGUCAGAUGUGAAAGCCCCGGGCUCAACCUGGGAACUGCAUUUGAUACUGCAAGGCUAGAGAUCGAGAGAGGAAAGUGGAAUUACGAGUGUAGAAGUGAAAUUCGUAGAUAUUCGUAGGAACACCAGUGGCGAAGGCGACUUUCUGGCUCGAUACUGACGCUAAAGCGCGAAAGCGUGGGGAGCAAAC
rnacentral:rRNA from 1 species